rnacentral:rRNA from 1 species
UACGUAGGGGGCAAGCGUUGUCCGGAAUCAUUGGGCGUAAAGAGCGUGUAGGCGGUCCGGUCAGUCGGUUGUGAAAGUCAAGGGCUCAACCCUUGAAUGCCGGCCGAUACUGCCGGGCUAGAGUCCGGAAGAGGUGAGUGGAACUCCUGGUGUAGCGGUGAAAUGCGCAGAUAUCAGGAAGAACACCGAUGGCGAAGGCAGCUCACUGGGACGGUACUGACGCUGAGACGCGAAAGCGUGGGGAGCAAACAGG